rnacentral:lncRNA from 1 species
AUUUCGCUUUCACUUGGGAUACUAUUUUUCGAAGUUGGGUCAUGAAUAAUGCAACAAUAUCUUUUAACAUUUGAGACAUUUUGAAAUAAUAUAAUACAGCUGUUUACGGAAGAAAGAAAAACUCAUUUGAAGGAUGUGGCAUUGCAGAAGAAAUAAAUGAAUAAAGGGAGCUCAACUGGAGAAUGAUGAUUAACAUUUAUUAAAUUGCUACUCAUUGAACAUCAGACAAAAUCUCUUAAGACUCUCUUCGAGCUUCGUGUCUAUGAAUAUUAUCCCCUAGAGGCUAGAGACAUCUUCCUCCAUAACCUGCAGUUUUGAACAAAGCUUGCUUGACGUCUUCAGACCUCAAAAUUGUUCGAUGCUCCGUUGCCUAACAAAAUAAACGAUGAAAUAGACCAAUAAUAUAUUACGUAGGCCUUUGGAUAAGUACUUUAGAUGGACUUGGAAAAAAGUAUUCGAAAAGAAAUUGUGGAUUUAAGUUUAAUCUGGACGUAAAUAAUCACUUGAAAAACAGGUUUUUGAUAGUUGAAAAUACAAUAUAUGAGUGGAAAUCAUUAUUUCACUUGAAUAGACCACCAAUUUUUCAAUAUACCAAUUCAUAUUCAAAUAUUAAAGCUCGCUAUAUAUUUGCAAAUAUUGAAUAUUGAAGUGCUCGAACAGGUUGAGGAUCAAAAUGUUGGAAAUAGGAGGCUAUAUAUAUAUAUAUAUAUAU